rnacentral:misc_RNA from 1 species
CCGCUGGCUACUCUUUACUGGACGCUUAUUACAAUCUCGCAGCUUCGCCGAUCUCUCUCCCACGAAAACUAUCAGUAAUCCAAUGGCGGAUGCUACGGGACCCAGUGCCGCUGCUGCCACGAGUGCGGAGACGGAGAAGAAAACAUCCGUCGGGAGUGUAGAGCCUGAAAGCAAGCCACAGACGGCGGAAAUAAAGCGAUGGGGUGAUAUGGUAGACGAUGAGGAGCAACCUGGCGACACUGCCUCCUCAUCUGAUGAUAAAGUCGUCGAGGAACUAAAAGUGGAUAAAUUAGCUAUUGACGAUAGCAAAAAAAUCAACAAAUUCCUCGAUGACCCCGAAGAUUCCAGCAUCCAAGCUGUUACAUCUGGUGAUACCCCAUAUACAUCAGCUGCUACAUUUGAAGAUUUGAACCUGUCACCAGAGCUGUUGAAGGGAUUGUAUGUGGAGAUGAAAUUCCAGAAACCUAGCAAAAUUCAAGCUAUAAGUCUUCCAAUGAUCUUGACUCCUCCAUACAAAGAUUUGAUAGCUCAGGCACAUAAUGGUUCUGGUAAGACCACUUGUUUCGUGCUUGGCAUGUUGAGUCGCAUCAAUCCAAAUGUGAAAAGACCUCAGGCACUUUGCAUUUGUCCUACAAGAGAGUUGUCUAUUCAGAAUUUGGAAGUUCUUCAAAAAAUGGGAAAGUACACUGGAAUCAGUUCAGAAUGUGCUGUGCCAAUGGACAGUGGAAACAAUGAUAGAUCUAGAAGCAGGCCACCAAUAUUUGCACAAGUAGUUAUUGGCACCCCUGGUACGAUAAAGAGACUGAUGUCUCAGAAGAAAUUAAGCAUUAUUGAUAUGCAAGUUCUUGUUUUUGAUGAGGCUGAUCACAUGCUGGCCAAGGUACCUAUUCUAUAUUGCUUAUGAUCAUACAGGUUUGGCUGUAAUUAAAAUUAUUAUGUUUUCUCAAUCAUUUCUGUUAUAACAUUUUCAGCUUGGUUCCACCUAGCACUUUUUUACUAAUGUUAGGAUGCAGUGAACCCUAAAUAAAUUUCAUUGACGUGAUUCUCUUGGAUGUUUUGAGAGGUCAAAAAUUGUUGGCUUGCUUCUUUCCAAUUCCAAUCUAUUUCAUCACGUUUAGCAAUAGCAUCUAAUUGAUACAAUGAAAACAGGUUUAUCUUGCUUAGAUGCACAGCUGAGACUUCUUUUGUGAUAUCCUUUACUAUUUAUGUUUUAUUUUAUUUCUUUGGUGUAUGAAUAAAGUUAGCAAUCUUUUAAAGCUGUUGAUCCUCAGUUGCUAAUAAAAAUAAAACUGUGUAGGAUGGAUUUCAAGAUGAUUCCUUGAGGAUAAUGAAGGAUAUUGAAAGACUCAAUGCUCAGUGCCAGGUUCUUCUGUUUUCUGCUACAUUUGAUGAGACUGUCAAGAAUUUUGUAUCAAGGAUUGUGAGGAAAGAUUACAAUCAACUCUUUGUGAAGAAAGAAGAACUAUCAUUAGAUUCUGUAAAGCAGUACAAGGUAUACUGUCCUAAUGAGGUGACCAAAAUUACAGCUAUUAAAGACAGAAUCCUUGAACUAGGGGAGAGCCUGGGACAGACAAUUAUAUUUGUGAACACAAAACGAAGUGCAGGUAUGUUGCAUAAGGCACUUGUUGACCUAGGUUAUGAAGUGACCACCAUACAUGGUGCACUCACUCAUGAAGACCGAGACAAGAUAGUCAAAGAGUUCAAAGAUGGUUUGACUCAAGUUCUGAUAUCAACUGACGUUCUUGCCCGUGGCUUUGAUCAACAGCAGGUUAAUUUGGUUAUCAAUUAUGAUCUUCCAGUGAAGUAUGAGACUCCAUCAGAGCCUCAUUAUGAGGUGUACUUGCAUAGGAUUGGUAGAGCAGGACGUUUUGGUCGCAAAGGAGCUGUCUUCAACUUUGUGAUGACUGAUAGGGACGAGAUGAUCAUGGGAAAAAUUGAAAAGUAUUUUGGGACCCAAGUAAAAAAGGUCCCAUCCUGGAACAGUGAGGAGGAUUUUAAGAUAGCCCUGAAAGAAGCUGGGUUGCUGUAAUGUCAGCCACAUCUGUUAUUGUUGAGCUUGGCCAGUACACAAGCAUGGAUGUUGGAGCAGCAUAGUCUCUUGAAGAGUUGCAGAUUUUGUCACAAACAUGAAUUUUGGUGAUUUGAGUGAUCGUAAUUUUGCAGAUUUCGUCACGGAUACCAGUUAUAGUUGUCAAGUCGACCAUGCUAUAAAGUUGCCCAUUUUGUAUAGAAAAUAGUUUUUUUUUUUUUUUUUGCUGGUAAAGUAAUUCCUACUACCAAGGUCCUUACUGUGCAUAAAUAGGCAAUGCAGGACGCAAACCAACAGGCAAAUUGGUUUAUUCACAACACGUCACUUGCAUCAUUUGCCGCAUUCUUAAAAGACCUGGUAAAACACAAUUAAACAUCCAAGUUUGAGCUCUCCACAGGAUCAAUGACCUCUCUGCAAUUGAAGAAAAAAGAAAAACAUAAAUUAGCUUUUUCUUGUGGGUAUAAAGGCACCAUGUUUCAAGAUAAGAUGUCUAACCAUAUAUCCACCACUCCAGUCACACAAGUUAAGGUUGUCAAGAUUAGUGGCCAUGUUCUGCUGCUAUAUUAUGAUUUUGUAUAUAAUCGAGUUAUCAUAGUUGCUUACUCUACUUGCUUGUUCUUUUAUAUUCUAUUGAACAGUGAGAUAACAUGCCUAAGAAAUGAUGCCUUAAGAUUUCCAAACCUGUACGUGCGGAACUUCCGAUUGACCUGGGACAGUUGAAGAAACAUCCAUGCUUGCAGCGUGUGCAAUUUCCUCUCUUUUUUUGUCAAUCGCCUGAGCAUUAAUGUUUUCUUGCAUGCCCUUUCCCUUCAAAGAGAGGUCUGAAGCUCCUGGCCUCAAAUCAGAAACUUGACUGGUGGCUUCAGUUCGUUUUGAGGUAACAUCUAACCGCUCAAUCAUUCGCACGACACCGGCAAUACCUGCACUCAUCUCCCUCUGAACUCCUUUGCUAAGCUCCUUAACUGAAUUAUUACGUGCAAGUAGCUUCUCCUUCAUAACUCGAGUACUUUUAGAGAACGACUCCUUGUAUCUGGCUGAAGCAGCAACCCAUUUAGAUUUAAUGGACUCUGAGAAAGAUGACACCUCAGAAGAUGUUUGGGGAGCAUCAGUUGAUGGUGGUCUAAUGAAAACUCUGGGUUUGGAAGGAAUGUCUCUGUUUACAGCAUUACUAGAGACCACAUUCACAACAGGAGGGACCACAGAUGGCAGAGCUUGUGGUGGCAUGAGAUGAAUUGGCGAAUUGCCCUCUGAAAACCCACUAUAUACAUCUUGGCCUUCUUCAGUAGACCUGUGUGUUUGCUGAGCACUGGGUACAUUUGUAGGCGAGUUAAAGAUGAGAAACUGCGAGGGACCCUGUCCAGAAGAUCUCUGCCUCUCCCUUCUGCGGAUAUAAUGAGCUCUGCUUGCAGCAGCUGCCAGAUGCUGCAUAAUAUGCUCAUCGAAAUCUGAGUCAUCUGAAUAGGAAUCCUGUUCUAUAUCAAAAUCUUCAUGAAAAUGGGUUAGGUUUGUGGAUGCAGCAGAAGAUGUGUUUCUUGACCUUAAACACCUCUCAGUCUCAACAGCAGCUAGAAGUUCUUGGCAAGCAGGAUCCUUCAGGACAAGAAGCUGCCAACAUAUUGGACACUCUUUGCUUCUCUGUGACCAUUCAAGAAUACAUUGAAGAUGAUAUUCAUGUUUACAGCUGGUGACCUGAAAUAAGAAACAAGGUACAAACUUGACACUCUAUUACUGCAAUCACAUGGAGAGAGUAAUAGUUUUCAUAACACAAAUAAAACAUUUCAGCUUUAUUCCCCUUUCUCUCAUCGGAAAAAUCAAUUAACAGUACAGGUCAACGAUCACCCAAAAAAUUUCAAAAGGUUUCCAGUUCAUUAACAGAUCAACUAAAAAGACUCAGGAAAAAACGUGAACUAGAGUGACAGUGUAAUAAGAGCAGUAUCAUACGGUGGAAGGGUCUUGAGUAGUGAAAGGCUCGAGGCAGAUACUGCAAGCAUCCUCGAACGCCUCGUCAAUAGCAGCUUCAGAAGAAGAACAACCACCAGUAUCAGCAGCAGCCGAAAUGAUCGGGUCGUCCGAUAAUGAGGAGGAAGAGGAAGUAAAAUUCGCCAUCGGAGAGGUUCAGAGUUGAUGGAGAAGGAAGAGAGGAAAGAAGGGAGCUUGGUAGGCAGGAGUGGAAGAGGAGAAGCAGAAAGGAACCCUAGAAAAAGUAUUAGGGGUGAAGUAAAUGGUCAAAGAAAAGAAUAAUGUAGAGAAGAAGAAAAGGGAGGAAACGAAGGGAAAAAUCCGAUUCAGACGGUUUGAUGGAAUCAAUCUGAUUUUGGAUUCUUUUCA